GUUCCUACGGGGGGCAGCAGUGGGGAAUAUUGGGCAAUGGGCGCAAGCCUGACCCAGCAACGCCGCGUGAAGGAAGAAGGCUUUCGGGUUGUAAACUUCUUUUCUCAGGGACGAAGAAAGUGACGGUACCUGAGGAAUAAGCCACGGCUAACUACGUGCCAGCAGCCGCGGUAAUACGUAGGUGGCAAGCGUUAUCCGGAUUUACUGGGUGUAAAGGGCGUGUAGGCGGGAGUGCAAGUCAGAUGUGAAAACCACGGGCUCAACCUGUGGCCUGCAUUUGAAACUGUACUUCUU
rnacentral:rRNA from 1 species